UACGUAGGGGGCUAGCGUUGUCCGGAAUCAUUGGGCGUAAAGCGCGUGUAGGCGGUUCGGUAAGUCCGCUGUGAAAGUCGGGGGGCUCAACCCUCGGAAGCCGGUGGAUACUGUCGGGCUAGAGUACGGAAGAGGCGAGUGGAAUUCCUGGUGUAGCGGUGAAAUGCGCAGAUAUCAGGAGGAACACCAAUUGCGAAGGCAGCUCGCUGGGACGUUACUGACGCUGAGACGCGAAAAGCGUGGGGAGCAAACAGG
rnacentral:rRNA from 1 species